rnacentral:rRNA from 1 species
UACGUAGGGUGCGAGCGUUAAUCGGAAUUACUGGGCGUAAAGCGUGCGCAGGCGGUUUUGUAAGCCAGAUGUGAAAUCCCCGGGCUCAACCUGGGAAUGGCAUUUGGGACUGCAAGGCUUGAGUGCGGCAGAGGAGACUGGAAUUCCUGGUGUAGCAGUGAAAUGCGUAGAUAUCAGGAGGAAUACCGAUGGCGAAGGGCAGGUCUCUGGGCCACUACUGACGCUGGAGAAGCGAAAGCAUGGGGAGCGAACAGG